AUGCUUUCUUUUCAGUGGAUCUUCCGUGAACAUGUAAACAGUUCGCCCAGGGUGAGGUUUAUCCAAGGCACUCUGGGUGUACUGACCCCGUGCUUUUCCCACAUGGUGAAGCUCAAUGGCAGAAUUAGUGGUAGUGGGAUUCAAUCAUGUGUUACCCUG
ensembl:snRNA U1 U1 spliceosomal RNA